rnacentral:rRNA from 1 species
UACGUAGGGUGCGAGCGUUGUCCGGAAUUAUUGGGCGUAAAGAGCUUGUAGGCGGUUUGUCGCGUCUGCCGUGAAAAUCCGGGGCUCAACCCCGGACUUGCGGUGGGUACGGGCAGACUAGAGUGUGGUAGGGGAGACUGGAAUUCCUGGUGUAACGGUGAAAUGCGCAGAUAUCAGGAGGAACACCGAUGGCGAAGGCAGGUCUCUGGGCCAUAACUGACGCUGAGAAGCGAAAGCAUGGGGAGCGAACAGG